rnacentral:rRNA from 1 species
CCUACGGGAGGCUGCAGUGAGGAAUAUUGGUCAAUGGACGAAAGUCUGAACCAGCCAUGCCGCGUGCAGGAAGACGGCUCUAUGAGUUGUAAACUUCUUUUGUACAGGGGUAAACCUGAAUACGUGUAUUCAGCUGAGAGUACUGUACGAAUAAGCAUCGGCUAACUCCGUGCCAGCAGCCGCGGUAAUACGGAGGAUGCGCGCGUUAUCCGGAUUUAUUGGGUUUAAGGGUGAGCAGGCGGAAGAUUAAGUCAGCGGUAAAAGUGAGAGGCUCAACCUCUUCGAGCCGUUGAAACUGGUUUUCUUGAGUGAGUGAGAGGUAUGCGGAAUGCGUGGUGUAGCGGUGAAAUGCAUAGAUAUCACGCAGAACUCCGAUUGCGAAGGCAGCAUACCGGCGCUCAACUGACGCUCAGGCACGAAAGUGUGGGUAUCGAACAGGAUUAGAUACCCCUGUAGUC